rnacentral:lncRNA from 1 species
UCAUAUUUGCUGUGAGAGAAAUCAGCUGUGAGAGAAAGUAGUUUAGCUUUUGGUAAACUUUUUGUUAGAAGUGUUGUUGGUAUUGAUUCCCACAUAAUCAUUAAACCCAACACCUCUUCGAAACUGAUUCCCGCAUAAUUAGGAAAUGAAAGCACCUCAUUAGUUGCUUUCUUUUAUAGCUUUCUCUCAUAGCAAUUUUUAACAAGAAGUGAUUUUCUCAUAGUUUACCAAACAGGCUUGACUUCCC